rnacentral:rRNA from 1 species
CAGUCGCCGCGGGAAUACGAAGGGUGCAAGCGUUAAUCGGAAUUACUGGGCGUAAAGCGUGCGUAGGCGGUGAGUUAAGUCUGCUGUGAAAUCCCCGGGCUCAACCUGGGAAUGGCAGUGGAUACUGGCUCGCUAGAGUGUGUCAGAGGAUGGUGGAAUUCCCGGUGUAGCGGUGAAAUGCGUAGAGAUCGGGAGGAACAUCAGUGGCAAAGGCGGCCAUCUGGGACAACACUGACGCUGAGGCACGAAAGCGUGGGGAGCAAACAGGAUUAGAUACCCCAGUAGUCCCUGUCUCUUAUAC